GUCUCGAGCUUACGUUUCAUUUCGUUGGCAUCAUUUUUGAUGGCUAUUAUUCAUUCUACUAAAUAGGUAACCUGCUAGGAACGUUUAGCUUUCUAAACAAUGUUCGCGAAGAAGGCGACGGGGCAAUGCCACGAAGAAGGAGACGACGCAUAUUGCACCGGACGGUUAAUGGCGUGAUGGCGUGACAUCGGUGCACACGCACACCGAGGUGGGGCGAACGGGACGAAACGAAGCGAAAUGAAACGGCCGGAACGCGAUGUCGCGUGGCUUGCAGUCGCGUGUGUCGCAAGUAUUACACACGAUCUCUUGACUAAAUGCUUUAGCGCACGAACACACGUUCGUAUCGUUGUUUCGUUUCUUCCCUUCUAAUUCCCGAUCCUUUAACCCUUCUUACGUGCUCUACGUAACUAUUACUUUAUGCUAGGCGAGAUUACUCGUUUAAGGCGCACGAGAAUGGCUUAUCAAUUUCCUCCUGACAGAGAAAAAAAACUCUACGACUAAUGCGAUUUCUUCUCCUCCGGUUGCUGUAAUAAUACCGUGUCGUACAUGAAAUCGGACGCGCAGAAAAAUCAAUGUACAUUUCUAAUUUCAAAAGUUAUAUUCUGAGGAUUUUGUGUUUAAAAUCGGUAUCAAAUUAAAAGGACGGUGAUGCUACUACGCUUUUACCAUUCGCUAAGUUUAUUCGUCGCAUCGCCGAAUACGGUGUCUGUUCGGUCUAAAAACAACAUACACGAUUGCUUCCGCGAACAACUUUCAUGAUUGUUUUAAUGGCCGCGUAUAGCGGAACAGCUGUAAAAAUGAUCCACGAGUUUGAUACUCGGUUUUCUUAUUUGCCCGGUGAAACCCGACCGAUGCGACGUGCAAAAUUUAAAGUCAAAUGUGUCCGAUUAUCCGUCGUUCGAUCUCCAUCAGAUAGCUUAAGGAAGAGGAAAAGAAAAAAGAGAAAACGUUAGUUCGGUUUGCACCCUCUUCUUUGUUUCGAGGCGAAACGUGCCGUUAAACAGCUCAAAGAAACACCUGACGACGUCAGACGGCCGUCCAGAAGAACGUGUACGUAUGUACGUGCAUACCUGUGGCAGGUGAAUCGAGGAGUCAGGUGCCCGAGCAGAUGGGGUAGUACCUUUACACGAGAAAACGUUAUAAAAGCGGUCUAUCAAAAAUGUAGGUUACGGACUAGAACAAAUGCCAGCCGUUAGAGUAAAUGUGACGCUUUUAACUGAUUUUCGACGAUGUUAAUGGCGUACAGUUACACGAACGCGGGGGCUGUGUCGAUGGAACUUUUUGGCAACACGAUAUAGGAAGAGUUGAAAUCUUGUAACCCGGCUAUCAAAUUCACGAUCCUUCGAGUUUUCAAUUUUUCAGCGUUGACAAGUUUUAGACUUGCAGUACUUUGUUUGCAAUUAUUGAAGAUAGCGACGAUAGCGUAGAAUAUGCGAGGUUAAGGAUUAAAUAAAAAAAAUUUCGAAAACGUCGUUCGACGCAGAACAAUAAGAUAAAACGUCCUUCGAGACGUUCUCGUCAACCGGACGAAUAUAACGAGCGCAUCUUUUUUUCAUGGACACGUAUCGUGAGCUGUACACGUACGCGUCUUCGGUGUAUGCAGUCGCGCGAACUAAAAGACUAUGUCCAGUCACGUGUCAGAGUGGAAUAGCGAAAACGUGAUGCGAUUAUGCAUUCUUCCUACAUCGUUGUUUCUCGGCUCGAUACGACCAGCGGACCCGCGAACAGAUACACAUACUUAUUAGUCUAACGUUUUACGGUAAUUCUAUCAAACGUUUCUUUUUAACAAACGUCACCGGAUUUCACGCGAUUAGUUAUGCAAAUCUUUUCUUAUCACGAGAUCAACGAAUGGGUAAUGAAGCCAUUCGGUCGUCAAACACGAUCAAUGAAACGAGACGCUCGAACUUUUUCAAUGUGUAGAAACUUCGUUGUUUUGUAAAUAUCGAGCAAACGAUUCCAGGUGAGAGGCAGGAUUAGUAACGUAUUUGGCAUCGUGCACCAAAUAACGUAUAACAAAACGUAGCAGAUGGUACUAAUUAUAGAAUUAAGUAUCAUAAAAGACACGAAGCUGAUUUAGGUGGAAAAUAAGAUUGUAGCAGCAAAUACAAUGUGUUACAUCGAACAAGUAGCAAUUACUGUCGAACAGCGGAUAAUUAAAGCCUUUAAUUCGAAAUCGGUAAGAGAGGUCCUGUGAAAUUUUCGACCGAAAAACACGUAACGAUAACGACAGAAACGAACAGCUGCCAGAAUGUUUGAUUAGAUGUCAGAAAAGAAUUGCCCCGAAGCAGAUCUUAUCAUUUCAAAUCACAGCUGUCUCCUGCCGCUGUCAGCCGGUUAACCGGUUGAUGCGUUUUGAAAUACAGAUAUUCGACAAAAAAUCGAUAUACUCGACAAACGGCGUAAAAACGAUUUAUCGUUAUCGAACGAUAUACGCGUCCUUUUAAUCAUCAUACGACUGAUAAAGUCAAAGAUGACAUUUUAUGAAACUUGGGCAAAACAUUUUUUAACAAUAAAGAGAAAAAAUCUUAGAUUCAAAGACAAAAAAUAUCGACGAAGGAAAGUUACGAACAUAAAUUGCGAAAUUUUUAGUGUUCAAUUUUAAUUUCUUUUUUCGGCGAUACGGUAUCUUCGCUUUUUGCUAGCGUUUUAAUUGCUCAAUAUUCAAUGCAACGCGCGUUCUGUAGCAACGGUCAUUCAUAACCUUUAAGUCGAUUAAAAUUUUCGAAAAUCAAGAACGGUAAGGAGAGCAUAAAUAGUAAUACCCCAGUUAUCUUGUACGUUUCGAAACGUUAGGACAAAGAGGGCAGUAUGCAAUAUCGGGAAGCGUUCAGAAACGGGAGCAAACAAUCGAAGGACGUUCGUUAUUCCGGAAACGUUCGCGCGUCGUCGGCAGCCGCUUUCAUCGAACGCGACGGAUCUGUCGCUUAAUCGAUAAGUAUCGGUCAUUUACGAGCCACGUCCAUGGAUAAUUUUAAAACGCGCGUUCGAGAGUGAAGUGGGUCGAGAAGAUACGUGGAAACGGCGAUGUACGGUGAACUGUGGCCAGUUCCAAGGCGAGAUUGAUUUUAAAUAUAACAUAAAACGUCGAUGCGUAAGCGUAUACGCGCGCGCCAUCGUUCGAGUUCGUGCCGGAAAACGUACGAUUGCGCAUGCGCUUACGCUUGCGCGCAGGGCUGUAAUUCGAAUGCGAAUUCGGCAUUAAAAGGCACCAGAAGAAAUCUUCCGCAAGAUGGUAGCUUUCUACCGCUUUGCGUUCGACUCGAGACCGAAAAACAAGAGUGAGUCAGACUAGCAGUGGGAGACUAACUUCUCGCGUCUCCUUGAAACUCGCGAGCUUGGCGUGCUCGUGACUGACUGGCGUCGUAGAAGAAAUGUGGAAAGUGGCGUGUUCGCGCGCGAGCGUGCAACAUGUAAAAGAAACUUCAGUAUCGAUCCAGCGCCUCUUUAGAAAGUCACGUUGGCUUGGCGUGUUGAUACCGAUAAGUUCCUCGUCCCUCGAACCUCUACGACCGUGCGACGUUGUGUCGUAGCCGGCAAGAUAGGCGGUUUAUCGCGUACCGCGAUAAGGAGCCGCGUAGCGUAAGAGUACGAUUGAACGGAACGCGACGAAAAAACCUAAAGAUAUUGUUCGUGCACGGAUUUGUCGCUUUGAUCACGUGACGUAGUCGACCGGUCUUGUCUACACUAGACACGUGCACUUCCUUAGAGAAAAUGUUACUUAAAAAUUUAAGAACGUAGAAAUUCAGUAAUUUAGAAAGGUAUAUGAUUUCCAAAAAUUUUAGUUAAAGGAAGCCUACGUUGCACGCGAUUUACGUGCACGCGGUAAACCGUUUCGAUACUUUCCGUCCGCUUUCGGAUCCGUUCAGUCAUCCAUCGUUGUUCUGCCUGCUGACUCGACCGCGUUACUCGCUUGUAAUUACCUGUUCAUCGUCAAACCGUUACUAAAUAUACGCCACAACGGGCUUAGACUCACUCGAGUAAAACUUCCUUGAUUUCCCUUUUGAAUCGAGCGUUCAACAAUGUACGAGUCACCGAAUCUUCAUUUUUUCAUUCGUUCAUUUGACUUCGCAAUUGGAACAUAUUUUUGCUUAACCUAAUUUAAAAUUUAUGAUUGCAGAAGACACUGAUCGUAAUAAAAAUUUUUAGGUUAAAAAACAGGAAAUGUCCUUUUGUUACAUUUAGUUUAAUUUAUAUUACAACUUGGAGAGUUAAAUAUUAUUUUAAUCUUGCUUUAGUGUCAGUUCUAUAGGUGCAUUUUUGAAAGAAAUAUCUCUGUGGAAAUUGCAUCGAUUCUUCCCAGAUCGAGAAACGCCACGUACGAGUCGCCUGCGAGUUCCGUAAUUGUGGAAUAUUUUGCAAUUCGUAGAUUGGAAGGCGCCUUUCUCGAAAGAGCGUCGACGAUGGCGAUGCUGGUCACGUAAGCCCGUAGUUCCGAGGGUGCCCUGAGCACGCCAUGGAAUACUAGAAUACUAGCGGCGAGAAUGUGCGGCGAAUACCCGCGACGCGAGUAACCGCGAGCGAGCGAGCGAGUGAGCGAAUCGGAUCUAUAGUAUGCCCCUCACGCUUCGACGCGCCUCCGUAUAUAUGUACUUGUAUGUAUCUAUCUACUUAAACGUGCCUAUGUGCUCUACGUAGCCAGCAUAAUUUCAGGUUUUCCCGCGCCGGAAGUUGAGAAAAAAUAUUAUGGGACCCUCGUGCAGUCGUGAUAAGCAAUUUCGCAAUUUUUCGCGGUUAUUCGCGUCGCAUUGUUAACAAUGACGGACGAAAGGGCUGCCACUUAUAGCUGUGCAAAAUAUACCUCGCACAUGAACGGCAUUUUGAUCGACUAUAAAUAUAUUAAAUAUUAUACUUUACACUAAUUUUGUCUUCUCGUGUUCAAAUAGAGCCUACUAAAAAAAUCUAAUACGCGUAGCGAUUGACAGAUUACAUUUAAAAACUAUACAUCGUAAAAUAGCUCGUUCCUAUCUGGCAAUUAUAGAGUGAAGGAUAGUGACAUAACAAAUCACGCGUCACGAAUACGUAAAGGUUAAUCGUUAAAGUAUUAAUCGAAUAUAUUACUGUUCGGCUUACUCAAUGUAUACUGCAAAGAAUUUUGAUUUUCAACCGAACGGACCAUUACCUCGCCCACGUCUUAAACGGUCGCCUGAAGUCUGGUGAUCGGGUAAAACCGGUUUGAGUGCGACAGUGCCGUAACUACCUAGCGAUGUACUUCGGGAUUAGCAAAUACUCGUCAAAUUGUAACUUGUUUGUUCACCGAUUUACUUGUAUAAUGCAAGAGAAAAACUAUGUACAAUGAGUAUUACAUUAAAGUAUCGAUAGCAGCACCUUA
rnacentral:lncRNA from 1 species